GACGAAGGAUGCAAGCGUUAUCCGGAUUCAUUGGGUUUAAAGGGAGCGUAGGUGGCCUUAUAAGUCAGUGGUGAAAUCUUCGAGCUUAACUCGGAAAUUGCCAUUGAUACUGUAGGGCUUGAGUACAGUUGCUGUGGGGCGGAAAUAUGACAUGUAGUGGUGAAAUACAUAGAGAUGUCAUAGAACACCGAUUGCGAAGGCAGCUCACAAAACUGUAACUGACACUGAGGCUCGAAAGUGCGGGGAUCAAACAGG
rnacentral:rRNA from 1 species